rnacentral:RNase_P_RNA from 1 species
GUAAGUAUUCAAUCGCUGGUUAAUAGCCAGAGGAAGUUCCAUGCUUGCGCUUGAUUAUUUCGAGCAGUGUUUUAGAGUGGUUAAAUCCACUACACCGAUAGUUUGGUGAUGAAGAUUGAAGUUCUUUUUUAUCGAAGAAUGGAAAUUGUAACGGGCAACAGAAACGAGUUUUAUAGCAAUAUAAAAAUGAAACGGGCAACCUCCUAAAGCAAGAAACCCAAAUUAUGGUAGGGGAGUGGUGCUUAGGCAUCAAUGAAUUCAUUUUCAUAGAUAGAUGAUUGAUUAAAACAAAACAUGGGCUAUUCUU